GAGUGAAGAGGGACAAGCUCAAAUUUUAAAUCUUGUCGGGUUCUACCUGGCCGAGUUGUAAUUUGAAGAGGCGUUUUCUCGUGUUUCUGAUCAGUCCAAGUCCUUUGGGAUAAGGCAUCACGGAGGGCGAGAAUCCCGUUCGGUUGAUCAGAUUCGCUUUACGAUACGCUUUCAAAGAGUCAAAUUGUUUGGGAUUGCAGCUUAAAAUGGGAGGUAAAUUUCUCCUAAGGCUAAAUAACGGCGAGAGACCGAUAGCGAACAAGUACCGUGAGGGAAAGAUGAAAAGAACUUUGAAAAGAGAGUUAAACAGUACGUGAAAUUGUUGAAAGGGAAACGAUUGAAGCCAGUCGUACCUUCGGGUAAUCAGCCUUUCGGGUGCGAUUCUGUGGAGUGUGAGGAGCUUAACACCUUCAUGCUUUGCAUAUUUGUGCUCUUGGGUGUACUUGCCCGUGUGGUUGGUUAACAUCAAUUUUGGUUAUCAUAAAAUGAUUGGAGGAAUGUAGCUUCGAUCUCGUAUUGAAGUGUUAUAGCCUUCGGUAGAUGUGAUGAUCGAGAUUGAGGAUUGCAGCGGAUACCCUUCGGGGCUACCUGUCUGGUCUCUGAUCGUUGCUCUGGUGCCGAAAGCUUGCUUACGGUUAUCAAAGUCGAUGGUCAAUAGGUUAGAACGGGUUAAAUUCGUUA
rnacentral:rRNA from 1 species